AUUGAACGCUGGCGGCAGGCCUAACACAUGCAAGUCGAACGGUAGCACAGAGAGCUUGCUCUCGGGUGACGAGUGGCGGACGGGUGAGUAAUGUCUGGGAAACUGCCCGAUGGAGGGGGAUAACUACUGGAAACGGUAGCUAAUACCGCAUAACGUCGCAAGACCAAGGUGGGGGACCUUCGGGCCUCACACCAUCGGAUGUGCCCAGAUGGGAUUAGCUAGUAGGUGGGGUAAUGGCUCACCUAGGCGACGAUCCCUAGCUGGGCUGAGAGGAUGACCAGCCACACUGGAACUGAGACACGGUCCAGACUCCUACGGGAGGCAGCAGUGGGGAAUAUUGCACAAUGGGCGCAAGCCUGAUGCAGCCAUGCCGCGUGUAUGAAGAAGGCCUUCGGGUUGUAAAGUACUUUCAGCGGGGAGGAAGGCGGUGAAGUUAAUAGCUUCACCGAUUGACGUUACCCGCAGAAGAAGCACCGGCUAACUCCGUGCCAGCAGCCGCCGUAA
rnacentral:rRNA from 1 species